rnacentral:lncRNA from 1 species
UGAGCGUGAUAGCCGAGUGGUUAGAGCAUCGGACUCAACAUUGCUUGCAAUUUGAGUUCAUAGGUUCGAAUCCUGGCUGGCGCGUAAUUCCCUUGGGCAAGGAAUUUCAUCAUAAUUGCCUGCAAGCGUAUAAACAAAAU